AUAAUAAGAAUCAAAAUCCAGCUUGGUUGGUGAACCUAGUGAUAGGAGACCAUCUAGCUUGGUUCGGAGAGCACUUGUUGGGUUAAAGACUUUUUUGUUGCAAAAUGUUACAGCCUAAAUGCUGUACUAUUGACCUACUUGUUCGGAUGGAUCUUCACCCCAAAGUGUCCCCAUACUGCAUGUAUACAUCUGUAAGUAACUUAGUGCAACAUGGCAAAUUUAAUUGAGAGGAAUCAACAAAGAAAAGAAAAACGGGU